CUAUUUCCCCUCCGCCUGACCAACUUGGCAUUCGGAGUUCAAGUUCACAGGAGAGGGGGUGGGCCUCUCCUCUCCGGGACAGGAACUGGAGUCAGAGGCUUUCCCUGCAACGGGUUCAGAGAGAAGAGCAGUAGGAAUGCCCUGCAGCGCCUGGGUUCCUGAACCGUCUCCCUUGGAAAAGUCCGACCUCCGCUCGCCCUCACCCCUGCAAGAAUCCGGAUGCAGACCAAGUUCAGCAGCACGCGGGACAUGCUGGAUGCCGAUGGAGACACCACCAUGAGCUUGCAUCCUCGAACCUCUACCACAACCCAGCGGCCAGAGCCUGGCCACCCAGAGCACCGGCCUCCCUCUUCUGCUUGGCGUCCCGUGGCCCUGACCCUGCUGACUCUGUGUUUGGUGCUGCUGAUUGGCCUGGCAGCUCUGGGGCUUGUGUGUAAGUCUGCGCCUUGACUUGGGAGCGGCUCCUGGUGUAACCGAAACGAAGCCUCUGUACACUGGCAUCAGUAUAGAAAAUAGAAAUAGAAAUACAAGUGAAGAAAUAAGCUGUCCAGUCUGACUUGGUAACUUGGGUUAGUUUUUCAGUUCUACCAGCUCUCCAACACUCAGCAAGACAGCAUUUCUCAAAAGGAAGAAAGGUUGGGGAAUCUCUCCCAACAGCUGCAAUCUCUCCAAACCCAGAACAGGAAGCUUGCGGAAACUCUCCACCAUGUGGCUGAAAAACUCUGUCGUGAGCUCUAUAACAAAACUGGAGAGCACAGAUGCAGCCCUUGUCCAGAAAAAUGGAAGUGGCAUGGGGACAAAUGCUACCAAUUCUAUAAAGAAAGCAAGAGUUGGCAGGGCUGUGAAUAUUUCUGCAUUGCCGAGAACUCAACCAUGCUGAAGAUAAACACACAAGAAGUUCUGGAGUUUGCCAUGCCUCAGAGCUACUCUGAGUUUUUCUACUCUUAUUGGACAGGGCUAUCCCGCAGUAGCAGCAGCAAAGCUUGGCUGUGGAUGGAUGGAGCCCCUUACUCCUCUGAACUGUUUGAGAUUAUAAUAGACAUCACCAGCCUAAGAAACAGGGACUGCGUGACCAUCCUCAAUGGAAAGGCUUUCUCCAAAGACUGCAGGGAGUUGAGGCGGUGUGCAUGCGAAAGAACAGCGGCUGCAGUGAAGCUGCAGAGGCUCUAGGAGCCUCUCUGAGCUGGGACGUGGGGCGGAUGAUUCCCCAGCAACAGCCACAACUGCAAGCUCCCUUCAGAGAAACUGAAGAUUUUGUUUUGCGGAACAAAAGUCCAUCGCUUUGGGUGCACCUGGUGAUCUCAGUUCUUAUUUUCUUCCAUUGAAUCCCUGUUUAUACCUUCCAGGUACUGACUAUUUAAUAAUAAUAAAUGUAACUAAUGUGAA